rnacentral:rRNA from 1 species
CGAACGGGUGAGUAAUACAUCGGAACGUGUCCGCUCGUGGGGGACAACCAGCCGAAAGGUUGGCUAAUACCGCAUGAGUUCUACGGAAGAAAGAGGGGGACCCGCAAGGGCCUCUCGCGAGCGGAGCGGCCGAUGACUGAUUAGCCUGUUGGUGAGGUAACGGCUCACCAAAGCAACGAUCAGUAGCUGGUCUGAGAGGACGACCAGCCACACUGGGACUGAGACACGGCCCAGACUCCUACGGGAGGCAGCAG